UACGGGGGGGGCAAGCGUUGUCCGGAUUUAUUGGGCGUAAAGAGCGUGUAGGCGGUCUGGUAGGUCCGUCGUGAAAACUCGAGGCUCAACCUCGAGACGCCGAUGGAAACCCUCAGACUAGAGUCCGGAAGAGGAGAGUGGAAUUCCUGGUGUAGCGGUGAAAUGCGCAGAUAUCAGGAAGAACACCCGUGGCUAAGGCGGCUCUCUAGUACGGUACUGACGCUGAGACGCGAAAGCGUGGGGAGCGAACAGG
rnacentral:rRNA from 1 species